AGUGAACGCUGGCGGUAGGCCUAACACAUGCAAGUCGAACGGCAGCACAGUAAGAGCUUGCUCUUACGGGUGGCGAGUGGCGGACGGGUGAGGAAUACAUCGGAAUCUACUUUUUCGUGGGGGAUAACGUAGGGAAACUUACGCUAAUACCGCAUACGACCUACGGGUGAAAGCAGGGGAUCUUCGGACCUUGCGCGGUUGAAUGAGCCGAUGUCGGAUUAGCUAGUUGGCGGGGUAAAGACCCACGCAGGCGACGAUACGUAGCUGGUCUGAGAGGAGGAUCAGCCACACUGGAGCUGGAACACGGUCCAGACUCCUACGGGAGGCAGCAGUGGGGAAUAUUGGACAAUGGGCGCAAGCCUGAUCCAGCCAUACCGCGUGGGUGAAGAAGGCCUUCGGGUUGUAAAGCCCUUUUGUGGGGAAAGAAAAGCAGCAGGUUAAUACCCCGCUGUUCUGACGGUACCCAAAGAAUAAGCACCGGCUAACUUCGUG
rnacentral:rRNA from 1 species